CUUUAUAGCUCUUUGUGUCCACAGGAUCCACAUGGGGAAAUAAGAUCAAGAAUUCCAGAUUCAAGGUCAAAAUGUGUUUAGGGCGCAGACACAAACAUUUUUGCUAUUUGAUAUAAUAACUCCAAAGUCCGAGGAAGAGCCUGGUGCUCAAAACCCGGCCUGUUUGGCUGUUUUUUACAAAGUGAGGGCGAGAUCACGUUCACGGCUGUUGUGGCUGAAGUGCCGUUCUGGAGCACGUCCUCAUUCCACGCGGCACCAAAGCCACGACUGAUGCAGCAGUUGAUUCGUUCCAGGAGUCACUCGUCAGCGUCGCAGCCUGAUGAAACGAGGGCUGCAGUGGUUUCCUCUGCAGCAGGGAAAGAAAAACCAAUUAAAUAAGAAUAAAUAAAAUAAGAAAUAUGGCUCAUUAGCCAUAAUUCUUACUGUAACAGUUACUACACCCAAGUGCUGGCAUAUAGUCAAUAAGAAGACGAAAAGGCCGAUGCUAUUAGCAUUUGGGUGUCGGAGGCCAACAACACUAUUUUCACUCAGGCAGAACUGAGCUCAGAUAUUGCAUUACUCACCAGAGCGAAGCGUCUGCUGCAGACGUCCUUUUCUCCUGGAUGUUGGAUCGGAUCCCUGCUGCAGAGAUGUGCUGUAAUCAGUUUCUCCUUUUUUUACCUUUUUAAUUAAGUUAUUGUCGUGGUAGAAGAGCUCCGCCACCUCCCUGUGGAAACCAGAUUCUACUGUAUGUAUGUAUGUAUAUAUAUAUUAGAUAUAUUUCAAUGUAGUUUGUAAGUUUGUUUUUGUUGUACAUCGUUUUUGUAUGUUCCAUUCACUUCCACCCCGCGUGUGAUAGUCAGUGUUUCCAGCACCAGAGUCCCUGGUUGGUGCAGCAGGAUCUGGGGCCUCGUCCGGGUCUAUGAGGGAGGGGAAUGUCAUUUAGCUGCUUGUUUGAAACACUUUGCCUGUGGAGCGUACUGUAUAACCCAUGUAGUCAUCUGGGGGGGCGGAUGGGGCCCACAAAUGCAGUUUGUUACCAUGUGACACUUCUGCUGCUUAUUUCUGCUGCAUUCAUUCUGUGAUGGACAGAGUGGCUCGUUGGUUAUGUAGAGCUGUCAUGUGGAGAUGUCAUGUGGAGAUGUCAUGUAGAGGUGUCAUGUGGAGAUGUCAUGUGGAGAUGUCAUGUAGAGCUGUCAUGUAGAGCUGUCAUGUAGAGCUGUCAUGUGGAGAUGUCAUGUAGAGAUGUCAUGUAGAGAUGUCAUGUAGAGAUGUCAUGUAGAGAUGUCAUGUAGAGAUGUCAUGAGGAGAUGUCAUGAGGAGAUAUUAUGUAGAGAUGUCAUGUAGAGAUGUCAUGUAGAGAUGUCAUGACAUUUAAAAGCAUAGAGACGAUGUUUAUUAUCAAAGACACGCUCCUGAUUAUCAAUCCGGUUUCUGAAGAGAACCUAAGAGAAUUCUGGUGCCAGACUUCAGUGUGGGACAAUAGUGUGAUUCUGGGUCGAUAAUGAUCCUCCACCCUGAGUGAUGAGGCAUAUUUUACAAUAAAGAAAAGUGCUUUGAGUGCAGUGUUUUUUUUUUCCUCUGCUUUAAUGGUCAGCGCGGGAGACCGCCUGCACUGCCGACAGUCCUCCGUCUGUUUAUCUGAGGCUGUGAUAGAUGGGCUGUGGACAUUCCCUCCCCCGCGUGUAGCGACAAUCAGUCUCCCCAUCACUGCUGAUAACACAGCGUGCCAAAAACACAAACUCAAACAGUGGCAGCAGGUCCUCGCAACAAACUGGGUUAAUGAUUCAGGAGGCCUGCCUGUCAGCCUCUGGACCUCCACAGGUCCAGACUUGUGUUUUCCAUCCAUCACAAGAUUUUUUGGGCCCAUAAUUGCAGCUUUACAAUAAAGGAACAUUGUUAAAUCCUUAACACAGCGGCAACUUGGUUCAUACAGUUACUUAGAAAAAUGAUAGAAGUAAAAUACAAACUCUUACUGAUGCAAAUGCUUACAUACAGUUUGAGAAAUCAGGCUUAAACAAAUGGUUCUUAUGAAGCCUUUUAGGUUUAUUGAACACAUUUUGAACCAAAUUGGAAUUUAACCAGUUAUUUACAGGCGCUAAGCCUCAAAAUUAGAAGUUCUGGACGGAGGCAGAAUAUCUCCAAUCACAGGACGGCUGACUGCGAUCCGAGGAUCAUUCUGUCGGCAAAUGAAGUGGCAAACUAAUCUAAUGUUUGUCAGCUGCAAUUUCCUGAUCCAAUUUGUAACCUGAGUUUCUCGAAGGGGAACUUAGCGUUGCAUCGGCAGUUUAACAGCCAGCGGAUUCUCAUCUGGUGGAGGAGAAAACAAUGAAUGUCCACUUGAAGAAUGCAGGGAAGUCCAGAACUUUAACAUUGUUUGACUUUCAUAACUAGUGAUUCAUUAUUCCUUAUUUAAGACUACAUUACCUCUAAUUUGACCACCUGUGUUUUCUGUUUAAUUACUGUACCGAGUUGUUUUAUAUGAUUUCCCAGGACACACUUGUCUGGCACUUCUUCCACAGGGAUAGAAUGAAUAUGUUUAGUCUUUUAACCACGCAGCAUUUCUAUUCUUUUUGGCACUCGUUGAGCGAUUCAGACUUGUAAAGACAAACUAAUUACAUAAAGUGUAAACCAUGUCACAUGAUGCUACUCAGACAAUCAAAUAUGUGUUUUCUGAUUUGCAUCACGAAUGCAGUUAGAUU
ensembl:lncRNA